CUAGAAACUAACAGAUACCUCACAGGAGUAAAGGGCUGGCAUCAAGAAGCAGAGCUAAGGAAAGACAUAGAAAUGACUAAUAUACAGAGAAUUCCUAGGAAAGCAGUGAGAGUUUCCAGGAUUUUAUACAAACCCACAAAGCCAGAUGACCCGAAGGCACUGAGAAAUCCAGACUUAUUGGGGGAGAAAAGGUGCUGUUUCAUCAGACUUCUGAAAGGAUCUACAACACUAUGUGGAUUUCCAUGUUUAACACUUAAAAACAAAUUUGUUGAAUAAACAUUGAAUCAAUAAUUCAUCAACUUGAAAAAAGUUUCUCAUGUACUUGAAAUUGAACAUCCCAUGAUGUGCCUGCGUGAUCAACAACUGUUCUGGAUUCAGUCCAUGAAUCCAAAGGUGAGUUCUAUGCUCUGGGUCAUCUUGGAAUGCGUCAUUCUGGGAGUACCAGCACACACAGGAGGAGGACCAACAUUUUAGGAUUGCAGUAAAUCAUGUUGUUUUCUCCAGAAUCUGGAACAACAUGUUGAGACUGAAGAGUCAUGAGAAUUGCCCACAGCUUAUCCCAGUCUCAGGUUUGUUUAGGUUUUGAAUUAAAUCUCUGGAGGUCUACAGUGUUUACUUCACUGACAGGAAAAAAAUCAUAGAUGUCCAAAGUAUUUUUCAAAAACAACAAAAACACACAAAAGAACACGCUGUUAUGUCAAAAAAGGUAGAAAUACACUUGUAUGAAACAUAAGGUCUUUCUAGUUUACAUAUACUACAGAAUCAUCGAUAAAUAAAAUAGAUAAUAAUAUAAUUUCCAUAAUCCUCCUAGUUUCUUUGUGCUUAUAUAGAUAUUUUCUAAAAUUACUAAGCCACGUUAAAAGCUUGAGAGGUAUUGAUUGUACAGUAUAUAAAGAUCUCUUUCAAGAUCUCUUUGAAGAUCUCUUUAGACUGACCAUGUAAAUAACCUGAACCUGAAGAUGCACAAGUCCAUGAGACCCAACAACAUCUACCCAUGUGUUCUGAGGGAACUGGAAGAUGAAAUUACCAAGUUGCUAUCCAUCAUAUUUGAAAGAUCACAGCAGUCCGGUGAAGUUCCCACUGACUGGAAAAGCGGAAACAUAACCCCCAUUUUCAAUAAAGGAAAAAAAGAAGAUCCAGGGAGCUACAGGCCAGUCAGUCUUACCUCUGUGCGUGAAAAGAUCAUGGAGCAGAUUCUCCUGAAGGCCCUACUAAGACAUAUGGAAGAUGAGGUGAUUGGUGUUAACAAGCAUUGCUUCACCAAGGGCAAGUCACACCUGACAAAAUUGGUGACCUUUUAUGGUGGUGUUACAGCAUCAGUGGAUACAGGAAGAGCAACUGUUGUCACUUACCUGGACCUGAGCAAAGCUUUUGACACUGUUCCUCAUGACAUCCUGACGACCAAAUUGGAGAAAAAUGGAUUACAUGGAUGGAGCACUUGCUGGCUAAGGAAUUGACUGGGUGGCUGCACUCAGUUGUGGUCAACAGUUCAAUGCCCAAGUGCAGACCAGUGACAAGUGGCAUUCCUCAGGGACCAGUGCUGGGAAAGGUGCUAUUUAGCAUCUUUGUAGGUGACAUGGACAGUGGGAUUGAGUGUACCCUUAGCAGGUUUGCUGUCAACACCAAGCUGAGUAGUGCAGCUGACAUGCUAGAGGGAAGGGAUGCUAUUCAGAGGAACCUGGACAGGCUUGAGAGGUGGGCCCAUGCCAACCUCAUGAAGGUCAACAAGGCCAAGUGCAAGGUCUUGCACCUGGGUUGGGGCAAUCCCAAGCACAAAUGCAGAUUGGGUGGAGAAGCAGCCCUGAGAAGGAUUUAGGGGUGUCAGCUGAUGAAAGACUCAACAUGAGUUGGUUGCAGCCCAGAAGGCCAGCUGUAUCCUGAGUUGCAUCAAGAGAAAUGUGACUAUCAGGUCGAGGGAGGUCAUUCUGCUCCUCUACAUUUGUGAGAACCCACUUGGAGCAGAGCAUCAAGUUCUGGGCCACCAGCACAAGAAAGACUUAGAGCUGCUGGAGUGGGUACAGAAAAAGGCCAUGAAGGUGAUCAGAGGACUGGAAUACCUCCCCUGUGAAGACAGACUGAGAGAGUUGGGGUUCUUCAGCCUAGAGUAGAGAAGGCUCCAGAGGGACCUUGUAGCGGCCUUCCAGUACCUGAAGGGGGUCUACAGGGAAGCUGGGGAGGAACUUUUUAUAAAGUAAGGUAGAGAAUAAACUGGAAAAGGGUAGGUUUAGACUAGAUAUUAGGAAGAAACUCUUUACUGUGAGGGUGGUGAGGCACUUGAACAUGUUGCCCAGAGAAGUUGUGGAUGUCUCACCCUGGAAGCAUUCAAGGCCAGCCUGGACAGGGCUUUGAGCAACCAGGUCUAGUGGGAGCUGUCCCUGCCUAUAGAAGGGGGGUUGGAACUAGAUGAUCUUAAAGGUCCUUU
ensembl:lncRNA